rnacentral:rRNA from 1 species
GUUUGACACCCGAACACUCGCAUAGAUGUUAGACUCCUUGGUCCGUGUUUCAAGACGGGCCGCAGAAAACCAUUACGCCAGCAUCCUAGCCGAAGCGCGGACCUCACUCGGGAGGCGCCGUAUUGCACGCGGGGCUAUAACACUCCGAAGAGCCACAU